ensembl:lncRNA
AUGGAAAUUACCGAAGCAAAACACUUGCAAAGACUGGUGUCUCCCUUUUGACAUUCAAUCACCUUCUCGGGGGUGACAGACAAAAGAAUGUAACGUAAUUGGGGCGUGAUUUUGCUUUCCCAUGCCUUAGUUGUUUUUACGGGGGUAAAAACCGUCAGCCUUGCAGAAGGAAUACGAUGCAUUGUCUGCUACCUCAACAUUCUCAAAAAUGGAACUACACAAUUCCACCACAUCUCCCAGCUUGCGAGAUUGUGCCCUCGUUAACACAAGCAGGAAAAACAUGGGGAAAUGCUUGAACCAAUUUAUCAUCUGCAGUUUUGACAUCUGGGUUGUCUACUACUUCUAACACAGGAGUUACGUUACCACCAGCGAUAUUGUUCUCUAGUAGCAAUGGGACUCCUUUUACAGGCAGUGUUGACACUACACCAACACGGAAACGUCCUGAUACCAAGUCUGACACUAAGUGGACCCAGUGUAAUGGUAGAGGUAUGUUUUUUUUGUCUCUAUACCCUGUAAUAUGACAUGCGAGCCACAAUAGGUUUCAGGGGACCGGGUAAAAGCGUCAGUAAUGAUUACUGACUGCACAGUCCUGGUGUCUUGUAAGAGUUGAUCUGCUUGUUCUCCAGUUAAGGGAACAACCAGCAGAUAUAAAACAGAGCAUAGAUAGGAUCCGGUUUCCCAAAUGCUUAAUCAGUAACUCGGUCCAACGGACGAGCCAAAGACGGUACUAAAACCCACGCUUUUUAAUUUAGGGGAUGGUGACAGGGAUUGUUUCGGUUUAUUUUGCAAAACUGGGCAGUCCGCAAUCACGUGACCCUUUUGGUGAAAUCCUGCGACGGCUAGGGUCGUUGUAGGAAAAGAAAAAAAACCUGAACGAGGCACUGAAGAUGUUAGGCUUUCAAAAUGAAGCACACCAGCGUACUCAUCUGCCAACACUGCUGCCUGGGCCAAUGUCGCCACUUUCUGUUCAUUUCAAUGAACUACUACUCUCAGGCAGGUUGCUUUUAAAAUCCUCCAACAGCAUCAACUUCCGAAUAUCAAAGGUGUUAGCGUAACGGGCCGAACACCAGCGAUUGAACAGACUUUUUGUCCCUAGCAAACUCAACAAAAGUACGGUGAGAGGGUUUGUGGUUCCUGAAGCGCUGCCUUUAAGCUUCAGGCACCAACUCAUAAGCCCGCAACACGUUUGUUUUAACUAUAUCGUAUAGUGUAAACUUGUCUUCCAGGGAGAAAGCGGCUAUUACUUCCUGGGCUUUUCCAGACAAUUUACAUUACAACAGGAGCGGCCAAUGCAGCGCAGCGGCCACAUGCUAAAACGCAGAGAAAUAGGAAUCAGCUUCCGAAAUGGAAGGACUAAUGCAAUAUUUUUACUCACUUCAAAGUAGGCUUGAUGAUGGGUAGGUUGUGGAGUUAUCGGAUCCUCACCUCCUUGUCGGCUUAUAUGGCCAUUUUCCUCAUUUCUAAAUCAAACUCCAGCUGGAUAAACACACUUUAUAUUUUAGCUCCAUUUCCAAACAGGUCAGCACCACCUUUAGCCUAGCGGUCCCAUCUGAACAACCCGAAGCAGAAGAUAAAGGGUUGAAAUCGGGGCAAUGUAGAGGAGGUACGAGCAACCCCUUCCUCCGCCUUGGCAUAUGAAGGUCUAUCCGCCUCCCUCAUAUUUCAACAAGAAAUUUCCUUUUCUCACUAAACCCUCCCUGACUAGCACCAACAGCUCAGCCUUUAGGGCUUCCUCAGGGACGAAGAGUCCAUAAUAGUCAGCUAUGGCGCAAAGGUCUACUUUACGAAACCCCACCAACCGAUCAACUGAGGGAGCUUCAAUAAAAUGGGAGUUGGUUGAGGCAGUCAUGGUACACAGCAGCCUACUGAACACAUGUAAAUUAAGUCACCCAAACUCACAACCAAACCUCAGUCUCCAAUCACAGAGAUCAGAGCAGCGGGGUCCUGUGGAUUUAAUAAUCCCGGAUGAGCCCCCCGUUAUGUUACGUACGCCCCCUGGGCGGAGGGAACGCAACACCCUGCUACAACACAACUCCCCGUGGAGUGAAAAAGGUAUGUGAUCGUAGGUGCAGGGGAAGGACAACAGAGACAGAAAAAAAUUACCAUUUACAGUGAAUUUAUUAUUCCUAACACAGAAAUGUGGGGAAAAGGGGCUGGACAGAACUAAAGAAAAUAAAGUAAAAGUUAAAUAGUCCCGUCUCCUACCUACCCACUACUUACCUAAUCUUUUAGCACCUCCUGGCGAGCUAACCAAAAUACAGGGGGUGGUCCGCCCAGGUCUUGCCUAGUGUGCAGACAGUAAAUACUACAGUUUAUGUAUACCCGCAGGCCUCUUGCCUAAACACUCCAAAGGUGCAUUCCCCUUCCCCCCCAGGAACAAAUAAAACAGAAUAAUUACUAACUGAAAGUGAACAAUUUCACUAAUCAAAAACACUAAGCCCUAUUGGCAUACACAUACAGGAGUAGCAGCUACAAAAUACUUCAACAAAACUUUCACGGACUAACAACCAACACAGGACAUCAAAGAAGCUCUCUCCUCCUGACCAAGGAUCACUGGCUUUUAUCCAGCUGUAGAAGGAGUUGGUAAUUGAAGACAGUUGUUUCCCCUGACUAGAGGGAGGGUUCAGAGCGCCAAUCAUCGAUGGGGCCGACCAAUCAGCUGCUUGAAGAAUACAAGAUUCCAUUUCCUGAAAUACACACACACAUAUAUACAAACCCACAACAACACAGAAACUGGGGAGCGUAACAUAGUUUUCUUAUGUCUUACCAGUCACCAUGAGCUUGCAUGUUCCUUAAAAAACAAUAGGCUUUGUUGUAAAGGGUGUGGAUGUUUUUCUUUUGUAAAUUACUGAUGACUCAUUUUAACCACACUUAAUUCUCUAAUCUCUUUCUCCUUUAAUAUACCAGAAAGCUGAGUUGCUAUGGGAACAGGAACUGUAUGUUCCAUUUUGUUACUCUGUAUCUGCCCCUACUGCCACACCUUCCCUGCAAAUGACUGCCAGGUGAGCCUGAACUUUGCAGCUGAGGCAGAGAGGUUCUGUGCAGCCUUGGAGAGACAGAUCCAACAAGCCCCAGAUUUGGAAAGCAACACACACACACACACACACGUCACAUCACAUUUACAAUAUAAUUAGUUCUCUCAGCUUCAGGCAGGCCAGUCCUCUUCUCUUUCUCCCCUCGUCUCCUCUUCCCCGAUCUCGCUGUCUCACGUCACUCUUUCUCAUUUUCUCCCCAUAACACUUUAUUUUACUCUUUAUCUCUUGCUGUCUCUCUUCCUCUCCCUCUCUUUCUCAAACAGAGCUAGUGGGCAGACUCAGCUGAACCGUACUGACAGUGUGGACUCUGCCUCAGGCUGUUUGUGUGAACAGGAACAGAGCCGAUCUGGGAUCAGCACUCCAUCUCCAGAUGUGUCAGAACGAGAAAUAUAUAGGCCAACAUCAGCACACUGGAGCUUAUACAGACCCAGAUAAUUCAUUAUUAGAUGCAUUUUAUGAUGCUGCAUUAGAAUGGAAGAAAAUAUAAAUGGCUGUCUGACUGAUUUAAUCUUGUCUCUUAUCCAGACGGUAGUCCCAGGUGGGAGUGGGCCCAGAGCAAGGCCUCAGUUCUAGUGAGCUGGACCCUGCUCUGAGGAAUCUGCUCAGGAAGGCGGGGCUAAACAAGGAGGAUAUGAAGGACAGACACACCCUCCUCCUAGAGGGGCACACCCUGAGAUGAUCAGAAAGAGCUUUCAUCUGUGACGCAGUGGUGACCUGUCAUUCAGGGCAGAGCCCCACCUGUUAAGCUUUUUGUUGCCUGUUUUUCAUGUUAUUUUGGCAUUAAUACAUGUCACACAUGUUUGCAAACAAUGUAAAAUAAUAAUUGAGUUAAUAAAGCUACAAACA